AGCGAACGCUGGCGGCAGGCCUAACACAUGCAAGUCGAACGAACCUUUCGGGGUUAGUGGCGGACGGGUGAGUAACACGUGGGAACGUGCCUUUAGGUUCGGAAUAACUCAGGGAAACUUGUGCUAAUACCGAAUGUGCCCUUCGGGGGAAAGAUUAAUCGCCUUUAGAGCGGCCCGCGUCUGAUUAGCUAGUUGGUUGAGGUAAUGGUUCACCAAGGCGACGAUCAGUAGCUGGUCUGAGAGGAUGAUCAGCCACAUUGUGACUUAGACACGGCCCAAACUCCUACGGGAGGCAGCAGUGGGGAAUCUUGCGCAAUGGGCGAAAGCCUGACGCAGCCAUGCCGCGUGAAUGAUGAAGGUCUUAGGAUUGUAAAAUUCUUUCACCGGGGACGAUAAUGACGGUACCCGGAGAAGAAGCCCCGGCUAACUUCGU
rnacentral:rRNA from 1 species